rnacentral:tRNA from 1 species
GGGCAUGUAGUGUAGGGGUUAUCGCGUUCGCUUCGCAUGUUUGCCUUGCGAAAGGUCUCCGGUUCAAUUCCGGACUUGUCCA